UUACCUGGAGUAUGGUACGUCACUGAUGUCUCACCUGGAGUAUGGUACGUCACUGAUGUCAGACCUGGAGUAUGGUACGUCACUGAUGUCUCACCUGGAGUAUGGUACGUCACUGAUGUCUCACCUGGAGUAUGGUACGUCACUGAUGUCAGACCUGGAGUAUGGUACGUCACUGAUGUCUCACCUGGAGUAUGGUACGUCACUGAUGUCAGACCUGGAGUAUGGUACGUCACUGAUGUCAGACCUGGAGUAUGGUACGUCACUGAUGUCUUACCUGCACCACCUUACUACCUGUCUAAGCCACGGCUACUUUGUAUUGACUAGAGCUGCCUGUAGAAGUACCAAAUCAAAGGUUUUAAGACACCGGGAUGGACAUCAAUGAUGACGUGCCCAAGUCAGACGUAAACAAGGAGUACUACAAACAAUAUGGAGAGAGACGUAUGGAGGGGGAGAGGAGGCUUCAGCCCUGUUAUUUCUGUGAUCACAUAUUCAACAGCCAGUGUUUUCCCCUGUUACCUCCCUCAUCUCCCCGACUCCCUGUGCCCCCAGAUAGGGAACUCUGACAGGACACGGCCGGAGGGUCUCCUGGGUAAGGCCCCCUGCUCCAGUGAGAUGCUGCUGAAGCUGACCCUAUUACAAGAGGAAUAAACCCCACAUCUGCUCCUUCUGGGUUAAGGGAGAGUACAAGAGAGGAGUGUCCCUACAGCCCAGGCACGAGAGGCCCACAGACCCAGACGAUGCCCUGGCAGACUAGAACAUUAUGGACCAUUACUAUGGUAUUAACGACCCUGUGGCUGACAAGCUGCUGAAACGAGCCUCCACCAUGCCCCCACCAUGCCCCAACUGGAUACGCCCAAGGAUACCAUACUCGAUGUAGGGGGGCUUCCAAAAUAUCCGACAAGGAUAUUUGGGGCAGUUUCAACGAUCUGUGACAGUUGGUUGUGGUGUGCUCCUACAGGAAUCGCUUCUACCAGUUUGGGGAGAUCUGGGAAGGCAGCCAGAGGGAAGGGUCAUGAACCUCUCCCUACCUCCCGGUACCUCUCCCUACCUCCCGGUACCUCUCCCUACCUACCGGUACCUCUCCGAAUGUCAUGAACCUCUCCUUGACCCCCAGUACCUCUCCUAAUGUCAUGAACCUCUCCCUACCUCCUGGUACCUCUCCUAAUGUCAUGAACCUCUCCUUGACCCCCAGUACCUUUCCUAAUGUCAUGAACCUCUCCCUACCUACCGGUACCUCUCCUAAUGUCAUGAACCUCUCCCUACCUCCCGGUACCUCUCCUAAUGUCAUGAACCUCUCCCUACCCUCCCGUACCUCUCCUAAUGUCAUGAACCUCUCCCUACCUCCCGG